GCCCCUGUAGCUCAGAGGAUAGAGCGAGAACCUCCUAAGUUCUGUCAGCGCAGGUUCGAGUCCUGCCAGGGGCA
rnacentral:tRNA from 1 species